CAGUAGCCACGGUAAUACGAAGGGUGCAAGCGUUAAUCGGAAUUACUGGGCGUAAAGCGUGCGUAGGCGGUUUGUUAAGUCUGCUGUGAAAUCCCCGGGCUCAACCUGGGAAUGGCAGUGGAUACUGGCAAGCUAGAGUGUGUCAGAGGAUGGUGGAAUUCCCGGUGUAGCGGUGAAAUGCGUAGAGAUCGGGAGGAACAUCAGUGGCGAAGGCGGCCAUCUGGGACAACACUGACGCUGAGGCAUGAAAGCGUGGGGAGCAAACAGGAUUAGAUACCCGCGUAGUCCCUGUCUCUUAUAC
rnacentral:rRNA from 1 species